GGCCCGCACCCCGCACGCGCCCUAAAAUAUCCCAAAGCCCCCCUCCGCCCCCUCCCGAAGCCGAAAUCCCCCAAUUCCCCUCUCUCUCUCCCCUCUCCCCAUCGCCCCCCUCCCGCACCCGAGCACGAGAGAAUCCGAGGAGAGGAGCGGCGCAAGGAGGCGGAGAUGGAGUCGGAUCAGGGCAAGCUCUUCAUCGGCGGCAUCUCCUGGGAGACGACGGAGGAGAAGCUGCAGGAGCACUUCUCCAACUUCGGCGAGGUCUCCCAGGCCGCCGUCAUGCGCGACAAGCUCACCGGCCGCCCGCGGGGCUUCGGCUUCGUAGUCUACGCCGACCCCGCCGCCGUCGACGCCGCCCUCCAGGAGCCCCACACCCUCGACGGCCGCACGGUCGAUGUGAAGCGGGCGCUCUCGCGGGAGGAGCAGCAGGCUACCAAGGCGGUGAACCCUAGCGCAGGAAGGAACGCUGGAGGUGGAGGGGGUGGCGGCGGCGGCGGCGGCGAUGCCGGUGGUGCUAGGACAAAGAAGAUCUUUGUGGGCGGGCUGCCCUCCAGUCUGACAGAUGAGGAGUUCCGGCAGUACUUCCAGACCUUCGGAGCUGUCACUGAUGUUGUGGUGAUGUAUGACCAGACAACACAGCGCCCCCGGGGCUUCGGCUUCAUUACCUUUGACUCGGAGGAUGCGGUUGACCGUGUGCUGCACAAAACCUUCCACGAUCUUGGAGGGAAGAUGGUAGAGGUGAAGCGUGCUCUGCCUCGAGAGGCGAAUCCUGGCUCGGGUGGCGGCGGACGUUCCAUGGGAGGUGGGGGUUUUCAUAGUAACAAUGGACCCAACUCCAAUGCUAGCAGCUAUGAUGGCAGAGGCGAUGCUAGCAGAUAUGGGCAGGUGCAGCAAGGCAGUGGUGGCUACCCAGGUUAUGGUGCUGGAGCUUAUGGCAGUGCUCCAACUGGAUAUGGAUAUGGGCACACCAAUCCUGGAACUACAUAUGGAAAUUAUGGGUCUGCAGGGUAUGGAGGUGUUCCUGCUGCGUAUGCUGGGGCUUAUGGCAAUCCAAGUGCUGCUGCUUCCGGUUACCAGGGUGGCCCUCCAGGCGCUAAUAGAGGACCCUGGGGCAGUCAAGCUCCGUCUGGUUAUGGCACUGGGGGUUAUGCUGGCAAUGCAGGCUAUGGUGCAUGGAAUAGCUCUUCUGCUGGUGGGAAUGCACCUACUAGUCAGGCACCUGGUGCAGCUGCAGGUUAUGGGAACCAGGGCUAUGGUUAUGGUGGAUAUGGAGGAGAUGCAUCAUAUGGUAAUCAUGGAGGGUAUGGUGCUUAUGGUGGUCGGGGAGAUGGUGCUGGAAAUCCUGCUACUGGUGCAGCCUCUGGGUAUGGUGCUGCUGGAUAUGGAAGUGGGAAUGGAAACUCUGGAUAUCCAAAUGCGUGGACUGAUCCUUCACAAGGCGGAGGAUUUGGUGGUGCAGUCAAUGGAGCUUCUGAGGGCCAAUCAAAUUAUGGCAGCGGUUAUGGUGGUAUGCAGCCUAGGGUUGCUCAGUAGAAGAGGCUGUUGUAAUGUUCAUGGUGUGAACCAGUGCAUUUGGGCAGCAUAUGUAUUAUUGCAGUAUUCUGGCUUUGCUCUCGUCUUCCUGAAGGCCAUCCAUUCUGCCGGUUAAAUCAGUAUUUCUCCUGGUUGCACGUGACGCCAUUCUGUGUAAAGAAUGUCCAAGUGAGGGUGAAAAUGAUAUCGGAAAUCUGCUGGUUUUGCUUGAUGAGCUGAUGAGAAGUUGCGAUUUGAAGCAUUGGCACAGAAUGCAAGCUACUAGCUUUUUAUGUGCUUCAUGUUCUCGAGGAUCUUGCUGUGCUGCAAGGUGGUGGUGCAUUGACCCAAAAGUACAUUAAGCUGGAGACGUGGAGUUUUCACUUUCACAUAUGAAGAUCGCCGCUCGACCCCUAACGAACUCUAUCCAGAACAAACAACGCUCUCAUCGAUCGGCAGAGAUAUGAGUCUGAUUUACUGUCAAAGAUGGGAAGGUUGCGAGACUUAAUGGUAUUAUUAUGCUAGUAUAGCUGUGCCAUCAGACAUCCAACAUUUUCUCUCUUAUGUAUUUUGGACACUUUGCAAUAGUCUAAACUAACUACUGCAGUUAUUCAAUUGAAAAAUUCAAGUUUCAAGUUU
rnacentral:rRNA from 1 species